CCACGGGGCGCAGCAGUGGGGAAUAUUGCGCAAUGGACGAAAGUCUGACGCAGCGAUUCCGCGUGGAGGAUGAAGCAUUAUGGUGUGUAAACUCCUUUUUUGGUGGAAGACGAAUGACGGUACACCAAGAAUAAGGGACGGCUAACUACGUGCCAGCAGCCGCGGUAAUACGUAGGUCCCGAGCGUUAUCCGGAUUUACUGGGCGUAAAGAGUCUGUAGCUUGAUGUAUAAGUCCGUUUUUAAAGACUUCGGCUCAACCGAAGGAAGGGAAUGGAUACUGUAAAUCUGGAAGUUAUUGGGGGUUAGUGGAAUUUCCGGUGGAGCGGUGGAAUGCGUUGAUAUCGGAAAGAACGCCGAAAGCGAAAGCAGCUAACUACAAUAAACUUGACGGUGAGAGACGAAAGCUUGGGGAGCGAACAGGAUUAGAUACCCCCGUAGUC
rnacentral:rRNA from 1 species